GUAUGGCCCAGUUGGUUAAGGCGCUCGACUAAUAAUCGAGAGAUCCUGAGAUCAAGACUCAGUA
rnacentral:tRNA from 1 species